rnacentral:snoRNA from 1 species
AAGACUAUACUUUCAGGGAUCAUUUCUAUAGUUUGUCACUAUCUAGUUUUAAUAUUAAUGGAAUUCUU